GGAAAAGAGAGAACAUCCCCCGCCGGAACCGGAAAUACCCGCCCUCUUUCGCAAAAUGGCGGCCCCCAUGAUUCAAUUCCGCGCAAGAUGGCGGCGCCACGUAGAGUAUAGAGCGAGGAGUCUGGAUUCACUCGUUUUCCUCAAAGAGAGCCGAGAGAUGAGCUCCUUCCAGUGGGGUGACGUCCCUCAGCUGUGUGAUGUACCUGAAAAUCAGCUGUGCCUCCAUCGAGUCCAUCUCAUCCAGAACAUCUUUUCUCUAGCCUCUUAGCGGUGGAAGCCUGAUGGAGGACCUGCCUGGCCUUUGGGGAAAAUUCCAACUGUAUUCAGAGCCUCCUCCACCCUAAACACUCUCAGCCGGACUCCUGUGGUCUGGGCUCAGCCCCACCAGUCCACCUGGCAAUUCAGCUGGGUCUCCCCCACUUGUUAGAACCCCUGCACUUGCCCCUCUCAUGACCCUAUAGGCAUUUUCUCCAUCCACACAAGGUUCGAAUCCCAAGAGGAGAUCAGAGGGGUUCUUCUAAGGAAAUCUGUCUCAACUUCCCUUUUCUGGAGGGAAGCCCACAAGACCUGCAUAACUGGGAAGACCCCCUUGGACUUCUUGCCAGAGGCCCGUGAUUCCUUCUCCAAGGAGCAGAGACCUUCGUUCCCUUUCUGCCAGCAUGUUGCAUUCCCAGCACAAGCUAAAGAGUCUGAUCUUGGUGGCCAUCCUCAGACUUAAAUGGCAAGUGACUAAUGCAAGGGAGGAUGUUCAGGAAACAGGAACUGCACAGGGAAGAGGCAUACAAGUGGUAUGCAUGCAAGCUUGGGAGAGAUGGUUUCAAGAGAAAAGGGAGAAGAGAAUGAAACCAGAGGUGGUGCUAAGGAAAUUGGAAUUUGUCCUGAAAUCUUUUUUAAGGAUUCUCAUCUCUCUCCUGCCUAGACUUGAGUUUGCUAAAAGGUAUUGGUUGUCACAGUGUAGGCUAGGUUGAAGUAAGACUAGAAAGAAGGAGUUCCAAAGCUGGACAGGAGAGUCUCUAGGAGGAUCAUGAGACCUAUGAAGGGAGGGACUGAUGACUUACCAAAGGCCUUGUGAGGAGUUGAAUAUCUCUUCCAAUCCAUCUCUCUUUCCCCUAUGCUACCUUCACUCCUGAGUUUAGUAUUGGAAUGUAU